rnacentral:rRNA from 1 species
UAUUGCACAAUGGGCGCAAGCCUGAUGCAGCCAUGCCGCGUGUGUGAAGAAGGCCUUCGGGUUGUAAAGCACUUUCAGUCCCCCCCCCCAGGUUAGUAGUUAAUACCUGCUAGCUGUGACGUUACUGACGGAAGAAGCACCGGCUAACUCCGUGCCAGCAGCCGCGGUAAUACGGAGGGUGCGAGCGUUAAUCGGAAUUACUGGGCGUAAAGCGUACGCAGGCGGUUUGUUAAGCGAGAUGUGAAAGCCCCGGGCUCAACCUGGGAACUGCAUUUCGAACUGGCAAACUAGAGUGUGAUAGAGGGUGGUAGAAUUUCAGGUGUAGCGGUGAAAUGCGUAGAGAUUUGAAGGAAUACCGAUGGCGAAGGCAGCCACCGGGUCAACACUACGCUCAUUACGAAA